GACUCUCGGCAACGGAUAUCUCGGCUCUCGCAUCGAUGAAGAACGUAGCGAAAUGCGAUACUUGGUGUGAAUUGCAGAAUCCGUGAACCAUCGAGUCUUUGAACGCAAGUUGCGCCCGAGGCCUCCUGGUCGAGGCACGUCUGCCUGGGUGUCA
rnacentral:rRNA from 1 species